rnacentral:tRNA from 1 species
UAGGCUAAAGCCCGCUGGCUGGGGUAGUUGGUUGUUAACUAACUUUUACGGGAUCGAGGCCCGUUAGUCUAG